CGAUAAACAGCCUUUCAUAGAGACAUCAAAAAGGCUUUCAACUGUGAUGAUCUUUCUAACUUAACGAUUUCUAAAUAAAGUGAGGUGUGGAAAACAUGGAAACCGCAGGGUUGUAGACAGCAUCUCACAAAUGAAGAAUCACAACAACAACAACAAACGGAAUCACAACAACAAACGGAAUCACAACAACAAACGGAAUCACAACAACAACAAACGGAAUCACAACAACAACAAACGGAAUCACGACAACAACAAACGGAAUCACAACAACAACAAAAGGAAUCACAACAACAAACGGAAUCACAACAACAACAAACGGAAUCACAACAACAACAAACGGAAUCACAACAACAACAAACGGAAUCACAACAACAAACACAAAAAAGAAGCAUCCUCUGAAUGUAAUUCAACUGAAAAUUGAAUCUCUCCUGUAUCUGAGACCAGGGUGUCUCUUAUCACUCCUGUAUCUUGUCAGACAGGGACAGACAAGAGUAGGAGGGACAGAGAGAGACAGACAAAGACAGACAGAGACAGGAGGGACAGACAGGGACAGACAGAGACAGGAGGGACAGGCAGGGACAGAUAAGGACAGGAGGAGCAGACAGGGACAGGAGGGACAGACAGGGACAGACAGGGACAGAGAGGGACAGACAGGGACAGACAAGGACAGGAGGAACAGACAGGGACAGGAGGACAGACAAGGACUGGAGGAACAGACAGGGACAGGAGGGACAGACAGGGACAGGAGGGACAGACAGGGACAGGAGGACAGACAGGGACAGGAGGAACAGACAGGGACAGGAGGGAAAGACAGGGACAGGAGGGACAGACAAGGACAGGAGGAACAGACAGGGACAGGAGGGAAAGACAGGGACAGGAGGGACAGACAGGGACAGGAGGGAAAGACAGGGACAGGAGGGACAGACAAGGACAGGAGGAACAGACAGGGACAGGAGGACAGACAAGGACAGGAGGAACAGACAGGGACAGGAGGGACAGACAGGAACAGGAGGGACAGACAGGGACAGGAGGGACAGACAGGGACAGGAGGGACAGAGAGGGACAGGAGGGACAGAGAGGGACAGACAGGGAUGGGAGUGUUACACAGGGACAGACAGGGACAGGAGGGACAGACAGGGACAGACAGAGACAUGAGGGACAGACAGGGACAGGCAGAGACAGACAGGGAUGGGAGUGUUACACAGGGACAGACAGGGACAGGAGGGACAGACAGGGACAGGAGGGACAGACCGGGACAGGCAGAGACAGACAGGGACAGACAGAGACAGGAGGGACAGACAGGGACAGGAGGGACAGACAGGGACAGACAGAGACAGACAGAGACAGGAGGGACAGACAGGGACAGACAGAGACAGGAGGGACAGAGAGGGACAGACAGAGACAGGAGGGACAGAGAGGGACAGACAGGGAGAGGAGGGUUACACAGGGACAACAAGGACAGCUUAGUGGUUAGAGUGUAGAGGUGGCAGGUAGCCUAGUGGUGGCAGGUAGCCUAGUGGUUAGAGUGUAGAGGUGGCAGGUAGCCUAGUGGUUAGAGUGUAGAGGAGGCAGGUAGCCUAGUGGUUAGAGUGUAGAGGUGGCAGGUAGCCUAGUGGUUAGAGUGUAGAGGUGGCAGGUAGCCUAGUGGUUAGAGUGUAGAGGAGGCAGGUAGCCUAGUGGUUAGAGUGUAGAGGAGGCAGGUAGCCUAGUGGUUAGAGUGUAGAGGUGGCAGGUAGCCUAGUGGUUAGAGUGUAGAGGAGGCAGGUAGCCUAGUGGUUAGAGUGUAGAGGAGGCAGGUAGCCUAGUGGUUAGAGUGUAGAGGUGGCAGGUAGCCUAGUGGUUAGAGUGUAGAGAUGGCAGGUAGCCUAGUGGUUAGAGUGUAGAAGUGGCAGGUAGCCUAGUGGUUAGAGUGUAGAGGUGGCAGGUAGCCUAGUGGUUAGAGUGUAGAGGUGGCAGGUAGCCUAGUGGUUAGAGUAUAGAGGUGGCAGGUAGCCUAGUGGUUAGAGUAUAGAGGUGGCAGGUAGCCUAGUGGUUAGAGUGUAGAGGUGGCAGGUAGCCUAGUGGUUAGAGUGUAGAGGUGGCAGGUAGCCUAGUGGUUAGAGUGUAGAGGAGGAAGGUAGCCUAGUGGUUAGAGUGUAGAGGUGGCAGGUAGCCUAGUGGUUAGAGUGUAGAGGUGGCAGGUAGCCUAGUGGUUAGAGUGUAGAGGUGGUAGGUAGUCUAGUGGUUAGAGUGUAGAGGUGGCAGGUAGCCUAGUGGUUAGAGUGUAGAGGUGGCAGGUAGCCUUGUCUCAGGAUGUUAAGUUGGUGGUUGAAGAUAACCCUCUAGUGGUGUGGGGGCUGUGCUUUGGCAAAGUGGGUGGGGUUAUAUCCUGCCUGUUUGGCCCUGUCCGGGGGUGUCCUCGGAUGGGGCCACAGUGUCUCCUGACCCCUCCUGUCUCAGCCUCCAGUAUUUAUGCUGCAGUAGUUUAUGUGUCGGGGGGCUAGGGUCAGUUUGUUAUAUCUGGAGUACUUCUCCUGUCUUAUCCGGUGUCCUGUGUGAAUUUAAGUAUGCUCUCUCUAAUUCUCUCUUUCUCUCUUUCUUUCUCUCUGAUGACCUGAGCCCUAGGACCAUGCCUCAGGACUACCUGACAUGAUGACUCCUUGCUGUCCUCAGUCCACCUGGUUGUGCUGCUGCUCUAGUUUCAACUGUUCUGCCUGCGGCUAUGGAACCCUGACCUGUUCACUGGACGUGCUACCUGUCCCAGACCUAAUGUUUUCAACUCUUAAUGAUCGGCCAUGAAAGCCAACUGACAUUUACUCCUGAAGUGCUGACCUGUUGCACCCUCUACAACCACUGUGAUUAUUAUUAUUUGACCCUGCUGGUCAUCUAUGAACAUUUGAACAUCUUGGCCGUGUUCUGUUAUAAUCUCCACCCGGCACAGCCAGAAGAGGACUGGCCACCCCUCAUAGCCUGGUUCCUCUCUAGGUUUCUUCCUAGAUUCUAGCCUUUCUAGGUAGUUUUUCCUAGCCACCGUGCUUCUACACCUGCAUUGCUUCUUUUAGGCUGCGUUUCUGUACAGCACUUUGAGAUAUCAGCUGAUGUAAGAAGGGCUAUAUAAAUACAUUUGAUUGGAUAGACAGGGACAGGAGGGACAAGGACAGACAGGGACAGACAAGGACAGACAGGGACAGACAGGGACAGGAGGGACAAGGACAGACAGGGACAGACAGGGACAGGAGGGACAAGGACAGACAGGGACAGACAGGGACAAGAGGGAAAGACAGGGACAGACAGGGACAAGAGGGACAGACAGGGACAAGAGGGACAAGAGGGACAGACAGGGACUGACAGGGACAAGAGGGACAGACAGGGACAGACAGGGACAAGAGGGACAGACAGGGACAAGAGGGAAAGACAGGGACAGACAGGGACAAGAGGGACAGACAGGGACAAGAGGGACAGACAGGGACAAGAGGGACAGACAGGGACAGACAGGGACAAGAGGGACAGACAGGGUAUUGGAUAGACAGGGACAGACAGGGACAAGAGGGACAGACAGGG
ensembl:lncRNA